CAAGGAAUUUUCCACAAUGGGCGCAAGCCUGAUGGAGCAACGCCGCGUGGGGGAUGACGCACUUCGGUGUGUAAACCCCUUUUCGAGGGGACGAAGGCAAUGACGGUACCCUCGGAAGAAGGAUCGGCUAACUACGUGCCAGCAGCCGCGGUAAGACGUAGGAUCCGAGCGUUGUCCGGAGUUACUGGGCGUAAAGCGCGCGCAGGCGGACACGCGCAUCGGCGGUGAAAGCCCCCCGCUCAACGGGGGAGGGUCCGUCGAGAUGGCGUGUCUGGAGGCAGGGAGAGGCCAGUGGAAUUCCGGGUGUAGUGGUGAAAUGCGUAGAGAUCCGGAGGAACACCAGUGGCGAAGGCGGCUGGCUGGACCUGACCUGACGCUGAGGCGCGAAGGCGUGGGGAGCGAACGGGAUUAGAUACCCCGGUAGUCCACGCAGUAAACGAUGGGUACUAGGUGUGGCGGGAGUUGACCCCUGCCGUGCCGGCGCUAACGCAGUAAGUACCCCGCCUGGGGAGUACGGCCGCAAGGCUA
rnacentral:rRNA from 1 species